rnacentral:misc_RNA from 1 species
CAUUCAGAUCAAAUUCCACUUUUGCUUCCACAUCCAACUCCCCUGCAGCAGAAAAAGGAACAGCAUCUGCUGUUGCAGAUGUACAUUCCUCGGCUUCAUCAGCCACAAUGCCAGUCAACUUUGAUCCCCUAGUCCUUGCUUGCACUUCAGAUUCUUGGACAACUGUGGUCGAAAACUUCUCAGGAAGCAUUGGGCCGCUGCUAUGUUGUUCAUUACCCUGAUUACCUUCUAGUCUCUCCACACAAUCACCUUUGUGAUCAGUAACAGCAGACCCAAUAUUACUUUCCUCUUCAGUUUUUU